rnacentral:rRNA from 1 species
AUUGAACGCUGGCGGCAGGCCUAACACAUGCAAGUCGAGCGGAUGAAGGGAGCUUGCUCCUGGAUUCAGCGGCGGACGGGUGAGUAAUGCCUAGGAAUCUGCCUGGUAGUGGGGGAUAACGUCCGGAAACGGGCGCUAAUACCGCAUACGUCCUGAGGGAGAAAGUGGGGGAUCUUCGGACCUCACGCUAUCAGAUGAGCCUAGGUCGGAUUAGCUAGUUGGUGGGGUAAAGGCCUACCAAGGCGACGAUCCGUAACUGGUCUGAGAGGAUGAUCAGUCACACUGGAACUGAGACACGGUCCAGACUCCUACGGGAGGCAGCAGUGGGGAAUAUUGGACAAUGGGCGGAAGCCUGAUCCAGCCAUGCCGCGUGUGUGAAGAAGGUCUUCGGAUUGUAAAGCACUUUAAGUUGGGAGGAAGGGCAGUAAGUUAAUACCUUGCUGUUUUGACGUUACCAACAGAAUAAGCACCGGCUAACUUCGU